UUAAGCGACUAAGCGUACACGGUGGAUGCCCUGGCAGUCAGAGGCGAUGAAGGACGUGCUAAUCUGCGAAAAGCGUCGGUAAGGUGAUAUGAACCGUUAUAACCGGCGAUGUCCGAAUGGGGAAACCCAGUGUGAUUCGUCACACUAUCGUUAACUGAAUACAUAGGUUAACGAGGCGAACCGGGGGAACUGAAACAUCUAAGUACCCCGAGGAAAAGAAAUCAACCGAGAUUCCCCAGUAGCGGCGAGCGAACGGGGAGCAGCCCAGAGUCUGAAUCAGCUUGUGUGUUAGUGGAACGGUCUGGAAAGUCCGACGGUACAGGGUGAUAGUCCCGUACACCAAAAUGCACAGGUUGUGAACUCGAAGAGUAGGGCGGGACACGUGGUAUCCUGUCUGAAUAUGGGGGGACCAUCCUCCAAGGCUAAAUACUCCUGACUGACCGAUAGUGAACCAGUACCGUGAGGGAAAGGCGAAAAGAACCCCGGCGAGGGGAGUGAAAAAGAACCUGAAACCGUGUACGUACAAGCAGUGGGAGCACCUUCGGGUGUGACUGCGUACCUUUUGUAUAAUGGGUCAGCGACUUAUAUUCUGUAGCAAGGUUAACCGUAUAGGGGAGCCGCAGGGAAACCGAGUCUUAACUGGGCGUUAAGUUGCAGGGUAUAGACCCGAAACCCGGUGAUCUAGCCAUGGGCAGGUUGAAGGUUGGGUAACACUAACUGGAGGACCGAACCGACUAAUGUUGAAAAAUUAGCGGAUGACUUGUGGCUGGGGGUGAAAGGCCAAUCAAACCGGGAGAUAGCUGGUUCUCCCCGAAAGCUAUUUAGGUAGCGCCUCGUGAAUUCAUCUUCGGGGGUAGAGCACUGUUUCGGCUAGGGGGUCAUCCCGACUUACCAACCCGAUGCAAACUACGAAUACCGAAGAAUGUUAUCACGGGAGACACACGGCGGGUGCUAACGUCCGUCGUGAAGAGGGAAACAACCCAGACCGCCAGCUAAGGUCCCAAAGUCAUGGUUAAGUGGGAAACGAUGUGGGAAGGCACAGACAGCCAGGAUGUUGGCUUAGAAGCAGCCAUCAUUUAAAGAAAGCGUAAUAGCUCACUGGUCGAGUCGGCCUGCGCGGAAGAUGUAACGGGGCUAAACCAUGCACCGAAGCUGCGGCAGCGACACUAUGUGUUGUUGGGUAGGGGAGCGUUCUGUAAGCCUGCGAAGGUGGCCUGUGAGGGUUGCUGGAGGUAUCAGAAGUGCGAAUGCUGACAUAAGUAACGAUAAAGCGGGUGAAAAGCCCGCUCGCCGGAAGACCAAGGGUUCCUGUCCAACGUUAAUCGGGGCAGGGUGAGUCGACCCCUAAGGCGAGGCCGAAAGGCGUAGUCGAUGGGAAACAGGUUAAUAUUCCUGUACUUGGUGUUACUGCGAAGGGGGGACGGAGAAGGCUAUGUUAGCCGGGCGACGGUUGUCCCGGUUUAAGCAUGUAGGCUGGUUAUCCAGGCAAAUCCGGAUAAUCAAGGCUGAGGUGUGAUGACGAGGCACUACGGUGCUGAAGUAACAAAUGCCCUGCUUCCAGGAAAAGCCUCUAAGCAUCAGGUAACAUUAAAUCGUACCCCAAACCGACACAGGUGGUCAGGUAGAGAAUACCAAGGCGCUUGAGAGAACUCGGGUGAAGGAACUAGGCAAAAUGGUGCCGUAACUUCGGGAGAAGGCACGCUGGUGUGUAGGUGAAGUCCCUGCGGAUGGAGCUGAGACCAGUCGAAGAUACCAGCUGGCUGCAACUGUUUAUUAAAAACACAGCACUGUGCAAACACGAAAGUGGACGUAUACGGUGUGACGCCUGCCCGGUGCCGGAAGGUUAAUUGAUGGGGUUAUCCGUAAGGAGAAGCUCUUGAUCGAAGCCCCGGUAAACGGCGGCCGUAACUAUAACGGUCCUAAGGUAGCGAAAUUCCUUGUCGGGUAAGUUCCGACCUGCACGAAUGGCGUAAUGAUGGCCAGGCUGUCUCCACCCGAGACUCAGUGAAAUUGAACUCGCUGUGAAGAUGCAGUGUACCCGCGGCAAGACGGAAAGACCCCGUGAACCUUUACUAUAGCUUGACACUGAACAUUGAGCCUUGAUGUGUAGGAUAGGUGGGAGGCUUUGAAGCGUGGACGCCAGUCUGCGUGGAGCCAACCUUGGAAUACCACCCUUUAAUGUUUGAUGUUCUAACGUUGGCCCCUGACCGGGGUUGCGGACAGUGUCUGGUGGGUAGUUUGACUGGGGCGGUCUCCUCCCAAAGCGUAACGGAGGAGCACGAAGGUUAGCUAAUCCUGGUCGGACAUCAGGAGGUUAGUGCAAUGGCAUAAGCUAGCUUGACUGCGAGCGUGACGGCGCGAGCAGGUGCGAAAGCAGGUCAUAGUGAUCCGGUGGUUCUGAAUGGAAGGGCCAUCGCUCAACGGAUAAAAGGUACUCCGGGGAUAACAGGCUGAUACCGCCCAAGAGUUCAUAUCGACGGCGGUGUUUGGCACCUCGAUGUCGGCUCAUCACAUCCUGGGGCUGAAGUAGGUCCCAAGGGUAUGGCUGUUCGCCAUUUAAAGUGGUACGCGAGCUGGGUUUAGAACGUCGUGAGACAGUUCGGUCCCUAUCUGCCGUGGGCGCUGGAGAAUUGAGGGGGGCUGCUCCUAGUACGAGAGGACCGGAGUGGACGCAUCACUGGUGUUCGGGUUGUCAUGCCAAUGGCACUGCCCGGUAGCUAAAUGCGGAAGAGAUAAGUGCUGAAAGCAUCUAAGCACGAAACUUGCCCCGAGAUGAGUUCUCCCUGAGACUUUAAGUCUCCUGAAGGAACGUUGAAGACGACGACGUUGAUAGGCCGGGUGUGUAAGCGCAGCGAUGCGUUGAGCUAACCGGUACUAAUGAACCGUGAGGCUUAACCUU
rnacentral:rRNA from 1 species